CUGGGAGCGUUGGCCUUGGCGGCCCGGUGGACGGACCGCAGCGCGUAGUUCCAGCGACAGAGCCCCGCCUGGUCCUUGAGCGCCUCCACGGCGCCCACGCUCAUCGCCACCAUCCACGACGCCUUCGCUGCAGCCGCCAUCAGUCUCCUGGUCGUCUUCUCGAGCUCUCGGCGCCUGGCUUGUCGAGCUAGCUUGGUGAUUGAUUCUCGAUGCGAUCAGAGUUGUUGUGUUGUGUUGAGGUGCAGAGAAGAGGUGGUGGGUGUGGGGUUAAUAUACUACUCGCGGUGCCGGCGGUGGCCGGUUGGUGCGGCGGAAACAGGUGGCCGCGGACGUUGGUUUUCCAGCAUACCGGGGGCUCCCCGCCUCUCCGCUCUGGUUGGUAGUGGACUAGUGGUAGUGAAGGUCGAUCUCGUCCCAGCCCAGUGACGCCGGUCCCCAUCAUCCCGUCGCCUUGUUUAUUAUUUGCUGCGAAAGCGGCCUGUCUGCGGUGUGCGGUGGCCUGUAACAUUGCUCCUGGACCAUGGUGGCAAGGACGCGUGCCGCUGCGGCUGCAGAUAGGAGUGCCACGAAGCACUGCUGCAGAGCUGAUCACCUUCCGGAUCCCGAGGCACGCAGCACAUGAUCCAGCGCGUACGUGCAGCGGUGCCGGUGCAGGUGCAGACCACCUCACUCGGCAGUCGGCACUCGCACGGUCGCACCGGCCAGGAGUAGUCGUUAGCUACUGCCUCCGUGAACGUCUCCUGCCUUUCCGGUUCUGAUUCGCAGCUAUGCAUUGAGCUAGCUAGAGUGAGUAUGCUAAUAACAACCUCCUAAACUUACUGUCCAAUCAAAUGUUUAACGUAUGUAUGAAGAUAUAAAGUAUUAAAUAUAAACUAAUUAUAAAAUUAAGAGAUUUUUUACGGUGCUUGGAGCGUUAAAAUAUUUUGCCUCCCGUUAAAAUAUUUUGCAGCAGAUUCUACUUAAAAAUUCUUAUUAAGGGCAGAUUAGUGCUUUUUUCCUACGGGGCAGAUUCUCAACUCUGGAAGGGCUCUCUCCAUGAAGGCACGAACUGUCGAGAUCUGCGUCGCCGCCCGCCCUGCUGCCGAGAGUCCGUCGUGUCCCAGUGCGGCGGCUUGUCGCAUCCUAAGCCGUUGCCUCGCCGCCAAUCGAGUCGGCAUCACCGUCACCACCACGACGCGUCUCCAUUGCCGCCCGCCUCGCUGCCUGUCGACGAAAGCUGGUCGGCAGUCUACCUUGGGUAUACCCCACGGUAGUAGUUUAUCGGUAGACGGUGCGCAAACUACGAACUCGAUGGUGACGCAAGACACGGGCGAGCUUUUUAUCCAGGUUCGGCCGCCGAGUUGGCGUAAUACCUACGUCCUGCGUCUGGUUGUAUUGAUUUGUGUUGAGAGAAUAACUUGUCCUAGGGGGGUCCCUUGCCCCUCCUUAUAUAGUCCGGAGGGCAAGGUUACAUAUCUGGAAACUAAUCCUAGUCGGUUACAAUUGCCAUAGAUAGUUCGAUAUCAAUUCCUAUUCCAACCGACUAGAAUCCUGCUUGAUCUUUAUGGCUUGUUCCCUUGCGCGAAACUCCAAUCUGUCGGAUCAAGCUUUGAGCUUGUCUCGUAAUGGGCCAAGUCUCCUGGCCCAAGUCUAGCCGUAAGGGUAUAGGGGUUUAUACCCCCACAGCUAGUCCCCGAGCACCAUGUAUUGUGAAGUAACACGCCAUCUUGAGCUUCUUCGACUAAUGAAAUUUUGACAUCUUCAAUCAGCAUGAAAUUCACCCAGACAGUUGCGACGGUAUUUUGACCAAAUCUAAACAUAUUUGAUCAACAUUGACAUCGAAGAAGCCAAUUGUUCGAAGAAUGCAUGGUGCUCUUGAGAAAAAAUAUUUCCUUCCUCGUGAAGUGUGCCCACUUUACUUUUCUUAAAAGUAUAGUCUUUAAAAAAAAAGCAAGCAUAUUCACCGCAAGGUGAAGUGUGCCCACUUAGUCCCCGAACCUGGUAGUAGGUGACGUAGGCACGUGGUGCCAGGGUCUAAAAAGAAAAUCAUAGAAAUUCUAAAACUGAGAUGCAUCGCCAGAUGCAUCGUACCGAUGUAGUCCCCGAGCUUGCUGGAAGGCGAAGUAUGAGCCUUGUAGCAAGGUCUAAAAAAUUGAACUUACUAGUCCCCGAGCAUAUCAUGCUCGUCUGCAAUUGAAUAGACUAAUCGACCAGUCCCCGAGCAUAUAACGCUCGGUGGUCGGUACAGUCCCCGAAUUCUCAAAUUGGUGGGCUGGUCGACCAGUCCCCGAGCGUAUAGUGCUCGGUGGUCGGUGCAAUCCCCAAAUUCUCAAAUUGGUGAGCUGGUCGACCAGUUCCCGAGCGUAUAGUGCUCGGUGGUCGGCACAGUCCCCGAGCACGGCGUAGGGACCGGUGGACAAGUCCCCGAGCGUGGUUGGGAACGUAAAUGUGCUCGGUGGUCGGCACAGUCUUCGAGCACAGCAUAGAGACUAGUCGACAAGUCCCCGAGCGUGGUUGGGAACGUAAACGUGCUCGGUGGUCGGAGCAGUCCCCGGGCACAGCGUAGGGAAUAGUCGACGAGUCCCCGAGCGUAGCUUGUCGACUGGGCCAAACCCCUGAAAAAUAAAUAUAAAGAAUAGGUAGUACAUGAUGUAUAAAUAAACUUUAGAUAAAAAAUCAGUACUGAGAUAAGUUUUAGAUUUUUUAUUAUAAAAUUAGCACGAGUAGUUAAUUCAUCCUAGAGCUUGUACCAACUCUGGUCUAGCCAACAAUCAGCAUGAGGUGCGGAACCUAGGCAUGCGUAGGAUUGUCAGCCACGUCAGAGAGCUACUGCCGACCACCCGGAACGCAGAGGGCGGAUCUCGUGCACGUGUAGGGAGGAGUCGGAGACAGUACCGGCUCUGGAAAGCUCGUGUAGGAGAAAAAACUAGUCGGCUAAAAAAGUUGUUUUGAAGAAUAAUAAUAUUAAAAAUAUUAUGCGAAAAAUAAAUAAGAUAUUAGAAGUGUACUUAUCUUUGGAUGAAAGUCUGGUCGGUGACGACAAAAUUGUCUGGCCCUCGAGCUUUUGGACUUGUUAUCGUGACGGUGGUCGCGGUUGUCGUAGCGCCGUUCUUCGCGGCGAUUAUUAUUGCGACUCUUGGUCAGAGCAAACAGGUCAAACAAGUUGGUUGAUAGGCUGAGCAGGUCGGUGUCGUCGAUCUGCCUCCUUUUGUACCAGAGAAGCGGCGACGCGUUGUCGGCGUGGUCGGAGACGUUGCUGGUGUGGUCGAAACCGUAGCUAGCGUGGUUGGAGCCGCAGCCGAUGUCGGUGAAGAAGUGAUCGGCACAGAUCGGAUCUACGCCUCCUCUGCGGUCAUGGCGGUGAAGCUGUUGAAGCCGACGAUGAACGUGAAGCCGCCCGCCAUGACCGCAAAGUUGGGGAUGAUGGCCAUCUUGUUCGUCGGGAGAGCUGUACGCACACCCCUUACCUGGCGCGCCACUGUCGACGAAAGCUGGUCGGCAGUCUACCUUUGGGUAUACCCAUGGUAGUAGUUUAUCGGUAGACGGUGCGCAAACUACGAACUCGAUGGUGACGCAAGACACGGGCGAGCUUUUUAUCCAGGUUCGGCCGCCGAGUUGGCGUAAUACCUACGUCCUGCGUCUGGUUAUAUUGAUUUGUGUUGAGAGAAUAACUUGUCCUAGGGGGGUCCCUUGCCCCUCCUUAUAUAGUCCGGAGGGCAAGGUUACAGAUCUGGAAACUAAUCCUAGUCGGUUACAAUUGCCAUAGAUAGUUCGAUAUCAAUUCCUAUUCCAACCGACUAGAAUCCUGCUUGAUCUUCACGACUCUAAGCUGUCGGAUCAAGCUUUGAGCUUGUCUCGUAAUGGGCCAAGUCUCCUGGCCCAAAUCUAGCCGUAAGGGUAUAGGGGUUUAUACCCCCACAGUGCCUCAUCGACAAUCGUCUCGCCACCGCCCUCACCACCACCACCAGCAUCGCCGCCGCCCUCACCAUUAGCACGCGCCUCCUAGAGUCGCCACCGCCGGCCCGCCCGCCACCGCACGCAACUCCAAACCGGCGACGAAUAUCAGCUCUCCUCACCGCUGGCCGUUCUCCUAGGUGUCGCCAGCGACUGCCUGCGAGGGGUCAUCGUCUUCCUUUGACUGGUGUGUCCUGCACGGUCUGAGUACUCGUUGCUGCUCUGCCUAGCCAGUAAUCAGAACAUUGGCCCUUUUCUAUGCAUGACAUGGAGAAAUACAUUGAGAAUUAAUUGAAACACGGAAUCUGAUCAUAGGAACGAGAUUCAAAUGACCUUCAACAUAUCUACAGUACAGGUCCAUCAUAACAUGCUCAAGAUGAACAAAAGAGGACGUACCUGCAGGGCCUGGCCAUCGGAGACUGCACGCGCUAGGGAGCACCUGAGCCAGAGACCGUGCUCGAAGAGUGCGCCAGCCAGGGGACCAUCGCGCCGACAGCAUUACGAGAGGGAGAGCCGUCCCCCACGUACCUCGCCGCUGCCGCCAUCACCUCCUUGCAUCGCCGCACCACUGCCGCCGUCGUGUUGUGCGCUGCUGCACGUAUGCGGGCAGCAUGCUCCGUGCUACAUCCGCCCAAGAUGUAGCCAGAACUGGGGCCUUGCGGGCCCCGUGCAUCCUGCCCCGCCGCUUGUUGCCUCCUAUACAGCCCGCCGUCGCCGCCGCCUGUGGUUGGCUCGCCCUGGCACUUCGUGUGCCUUGCCGCGGCAACCUCGAGUGCGGGAGCCAUGGCCUUGACCACACGCAUGGCCUUAUCCGCCAUGAGAUCCCACCGGCUGGUCGGCGUGUCCUGUUUUUGUGAUUUGGGGACGGGCUGGCGAAGAUUUGGGGCACGGUCUGAGCAGCUUCUUAUUCUGAGGAGAAGUUCAUUUUUUUAAAUUAGAAGCAGCUUCUAAAAUGUUAGAAAUACAAUAAUAUCCUUUGAUUUUAAUUACAAACUAGUUCAGAGCCCACAAAAUUUUGGUCCCGGCCCACGACUUAAGUUCCUCUUAUUUGGUUCUUCCUAUUUUCAGACCAUUAGAUAUAAUGAAAUGAAGAGCUCUCGUUAUUUCCAAGCGUAGCAAAAUUUCUCAUGACGAUUUGUUAAACCUAAUUAGUUUAUAAUUUGAUAAUAUAGUGUUACAAUAAACAUAUAUUAAUGAUAAAUUAAUUAGAUUUAAUAAAUUUAUCUCCUGUAAUUUGUUUUAUUUUUUAAUAUCCGAACUGUUUUAUUUUACAUCUUAUAUGAUGUUCCACUUGACAUCUUCUAAACUUUAGUCCUUGCACACUAAAUUUUUCAAUUAAGGAGCCGCAAACCAGCUAGGCAAGUUUGAGCUACCCAUGUGCAGUCAUAUUAGCUUUUUUUUUACGAUUAACAAAACCGGACAGUACACAGUAGCGAACACAUUGUGAUCCGACAAGAAACUUCUUGCUUUCUUAGCGAGGGGAAAAGUAGUCGAGUAGUUAAUUAUUUUUUAACGUGCUAGAUCCUAUGGGGGCUUAAGCGCAGAUUGUUCCCAUGUGCUAAGUACUUAUGGAGUAUCGAUCUGUCAAACUGCUGCGGAGACUCUGCUCUGCUCUCGGCUCCGUCUUUCUAACACAAACACACUUUUUACCCCCAAAAACUUGAGAGGCCAUGAUUAGUUUUCUAGGGCUUUGUUAACUUAAAAAAAAUUACAAAAUAUGAAUAUUAGCAUUUUCGUUUGUAUUUGACAAAUAUUAUCCAAUUAUGUACUGACUAGGUUCAAAAUAUUCGUCUCGUCAAUUCCGAUUAAACUGUGCAAUUAGUUUUUAUUUUUAUCUAUAUUUAAUACACCAUACAUACGUCUAAAGAUUCGAUGUGACGGAGAAAUCUGAAAAAUUUUUAAAAUUUUUGGGAACUAAACAAGGCCCCAAGAGGAGUGGGGGAAUCGAACAAGGCCUGACUCGGGAAGUCCGGAAACUGAAUUCGGUACUACACCACCUGGCCCAUGCAUGUCAGUUAACAAGGGGCCUCUGUUGAACUUUGAACAUGAAACCGUGAUCCCAUCAGGCAUCAGCAUAUGAGAUAUCAGUGUAGUGUAAAUAACAUGGUGCUUUCAGGCUUCCGCUGUCAUGAAAUAGGACAGUCCAGGAUUUCAUAUUAUCAUGCUUGCCGGUCAUGACUAUAAAUAACAUGUCUUCGAACUCAAAGCUUCCAGAUUUCACGCCAGUGUACAGAAUCAGAAUGGUCACUCGAUCAUACACAGUAGAUUACACUCGAAUUAAGUGGCUGAACUUUUCAUCAUCAUCCAAUCGUCGUCAUACAUUUACAAUAAUCAGGGUGAGCCACACCGGCAAAGGUCACAAGCCCAGCUCGGUCGCUGAAGAAGAACAAGACGAACUCCAACUACGGCUAGUUACUUAGUUAGGUCCCCAGCAGCUGAGGUACAUGACGGUCCUCAUCCCCUCCUCCGCGGCCUUGUCCGCCCGUCUCGUCUCCGCCGUCGUCGCCGCCGGCGGGGCCAGCUUCUUGGCCUGCGCGGCGAGGCUGCUGCGCACGUUGGCCUUGGCGGUCCGGUGGACGGACCGCAGCGCGUAGUUCCAGCGGCAUAGGCCCGCCUGGUCCUUGAGCGCCUCCACCGCGCCCACGCUCAUCGCCACCAUCCACGACGCCUUCGCCGCACCUGCCAUCUCCUGACUCCUGGUCUGGUCUUCUCUUUCUCCCUCGAGAGAGCGCGCGGUCACUGAUCGCUGAUCGCUUGUAGUAGCAAGUGAGGUUGCUUGAUGCUGUGUUGGGAGAGGCGAGCCGGGGCGGGUGGGUUUAUAUGUACCGGCGGGCGGCGGGAGGUCGGGGGCACGGCGGAAACGGGUGGGCGCGGACCCUGGUUUUCCUGGAUACCAGGGGCUCUCGCUCACUGGUCACUGCCUGCGGCUCGCUUUCUUGCGCGCCGGCCCAGUGGGUCGCCCACUUGACUCGUCGUCUUGUUUAUUCGCGGCAGAAUCGGAGACAGCGACGCGUGCCGCGCAACCGCAAAUACGGGAUGCCACGCGCACUGUGCCACUCACUGGCACGCAUCGUCAUUAUCCUUUGCAUUGUAGCUGGACUGAUUGGGAUUAGUGAAUAGAGAUGGGCACGCGGUGGACGGUGGUAGUAGUUUUUAUCAGAUCUGUGAUGGCCUGCUGUGCAUUGUCUUGCUUUCAGCAAACAGGACGAGGGAUCCUAUCCUAGCAUGUAGCGAUCUGUAAAUAAUGAAAUCCAUCGCGUGGAAUGAUGAGCAGGAUUCUACGGAUCAAUCGAGGCAGCCGUCCAGGAAUCUUGUUCACGUUCUUGGUGACCAUCGUUACUGUAUUUGUUAAGAUAAUCCCAUCCGUUUUUAACACGCUAAAUCACAUGGGUUAAUGGGUACAGCUGCAGAUUGUUUGUUCUGUUGUCACCGCACAGUGAGUGUGAGACACUGAAACUCUGAGGGUGACGUUUUUGGCAUAAUAUAACCAGACGCCACAGCACAUGGUUUUCCUUGAUAUACCACAGCACAUGGAGCGUUUGCUAACGCAACUUUUACAUGCAUGAAUGUUCACCGCGGUGUGAUUUGUGUGACACUGGUAAAGUAUGGGCUCAUAUCGUCUCGUUCUUACGCGUUACGCCAAAAUGAAAAAUAUCGUUUCGUUCAUAAAUAUGUCUCAACAUGUAAACAAGAUUUUUACGGUGUGAGGGUGGGUAAAACACAAUUUUUUCCACCAAAAGGGUCGCCAAAAACAUUUACGGUACGAUAUACAUAGACCAUCCCCCUGCAACUUUGGUCCGCCGAAUUAGGAGCAAAAACAACUCUGGCCCAAAAUCAAAAGAAGUAGACCAUGCAAUCACCCAAUGACCCAACACCGCAAGUGGCUGAAGCGUCGUCCCCACCCCCGCACUGCACCGGAGGGGGACGGAACGGAUGGGCGGGCCGGCCAGGAACAGGUGGCCGCGAUGAUGGUUUUCCUGCAUACCGGACCGGCACCGGGGGCUUUCCUUUGUUUGCGACAGAAACGGCUGGCCCGCGUCGCUUGCAGUUGCAGAGAUAGGAACGGACAGUAGACCCAGCAACCAUCACCGUGCCACUGGACCACUCCCCUGCCCAUCCUCUGUAUCUAGGCAAGACAGGCAAAUUACUUAAUUAAUUAUUUUUUAUCUAUAUUUAAUGUCUCACACAUGUACUAUAAAUUCGAUGUGAUAGAAAAUUUUGAAUUUUAGGAUGAACUAAACAAAACCUUGGUAUUGGUACUAGUUUCAGUAGAGAUUUCAUAUUUAGGUUUUGUUUAGGCCUUGUUUAGUUCAUCUAAAAACUAAAAACUUUUUAAGAUUUUUCGCCGCAUCGAAUCUUUUAUCACAUGUAUCAAAUAUUAAAUAUAGACAAAAACAAAAACUAAUUGCACAGUUUACCUGUAAAUCACGAGAUGAAUCUUUUGAGUUUAUUUAGUAUAUGAUUGGACAAUAAUUUCAAAUAAAAACGAAAAGCUACAGUACCCGAAAUAAAAAAAAUUAAACUAAACAAGCUUUAGGCCCCCUUUGGAACGAGGGGGAAACACAGGAAAAGUGAAGGAUAGGAAUUUCACAGGAUUUUUUCCUAUCCUGUCCUUUGGUUCACACGAAGAGCAAAGGAAAACUUCCGGAGGAUGGCAUUCCUACGCUCGAUUUCGGAGGAAAACGAGCAUGAGCUCAGAGCUCAUGGAAAGAAUCCUGGCACGAAAAGAAAAUGACUCGCGCGCACCUGCGGAGCUGCCAUGCUGUUCGGCGCUAAGCACGGGCGAGCGCCACCGCCGCGCGCGGGCCUCGCAGCUGUCGUGGGCGGCCCCUGCAUCGACGGAGGACGACGACCGGAGUCCAUAGCGACGCGGAGGCGGAGGCUGGAGCGGCGGCCGGCGGAGGAUGUGAGGCGGCGCGGAGCCCUCGAUGUUGGCGAGGCCGGCGCGGUGCGAGGCAACGGCGGAGGCUCGGAGCCCCGGCGCGGCCAGGCUACCCUUCGCUGCCGCGCGCGGGGAGAAAAAGCGGGCGCCGAGUGAGAGAGAUAGAGAGCCGCGCGGUGGGGCGGCGCCGUACGCCCGCGGCCGGGCCUGCCCAGUAGCGGCGACAGAGAGAGCCGAGGGGAUGCUCAGCAAGCAGCGCACGAGGUCGCGCGGCGGGAGGCACAGCUGGCCGAGAUCUGGCUGCGGAUUCGGCAGCACCGGGAGCGGACGCGCCGCGUGGCCGCCGGUGGGGAGAGCUGCGGGGUGGGGGCGCGGAUGGGGAGCGUCGCCGUCAGCCUCGGGCGCGCGCAGGUGGAGAGAGGUGGGGGGCGGAUGGGGGCGCCGCCGUCGGCCUUCCGGCCUCUCCCAGUAGAGAGCCGCGAGGGACGCGGAGGAUUUCGAACGCGGAUUGACGGGUGGGUGGGUGGGACCGUGGGAGUGUACCACUCAUUUCUGCAUUUUUUUUAUUAAUCCUGAGGGAUCGAGGGACCUGCCGCCAAAGGGUUUUUUGCUGCCUGCACUGUUCCGGUAGGAAUCAACAAGUCGCGCACUUGCAUUCCUACGAUUUUCCUUUUCCUAUCCUCCGCCUACAGUACAAUCCAAAGGGGGCCUUAGUUCCCACCUUAAAACUUCUCAUCCCAAGACAAAUGUUUUGAGCUUAUUUCAUGAGUAGAUACUAUAUAGUUAUAAAUGUACUACAAUAACUAAUAAUUUUUCUUUUCGCGAACUAAACAAGUCCUUACUUCUAAACUACACUAGUACUCUAUCCCAAAUUAUAAAUCAUUUUAAGAAUCUUAUAGAGUUAAAUCAUCUCAAGUUUGACUAAAUUUAUAUGAUAACAUAAUAAUAUUUAUGAUAUCAACUAAAUAUCAUUAGGUUCUUCAUUAGUUAUAUUCUUAUAGUAAUAUCUAUUUGUUGUUAUAAAUCUUUCUAAUUUUUUUCUAUAGUGUUAGUUAAAUUUGAGAUGCUUUAUAAAUUGGGAGGGAGUACAUCUGACUCGAGGUCAGCCUUCCCGCCUUCUCAGUAAACUAGUCCGUCUUUGCACUCACUGAAUCGCGUGGUUAGCUGUUUACAGGAAGGAACACAAAAGUAGAACUACAGCCAAACUGAAACGGAGUCAUGGAGACCCACUUUGCAUAAGCACAGUUUGUCCCUGAACCUCGGAGACCAUGAUUAGUUUACUCUUCGACGAUGAUCACGGUUGAGCAACGUGGACUGCAAAAUUUUGAUGCAGAGGGGCCUCUAAAUUGACCUCUGAUGAACCGAAACUGAGCUGAAAAAAGAGUCUUGCUGUAUCAUUUUUGUCCUCUAAGAGAUGCUCCUAAACUGUUGUCAUGGAAGAGUACAUCCCACAACCUGAGAUUGCCAUUCCACGUUUGCCAUCACCGAUUGUUCUGUUUCAGCACAUGGAGGCAUGAAACACCACCGAGUUCUUGUUUUGAACCCAGAGAGUUUAAAUCCCCACAUCCAAGUCUGCACAUUCAGUAUCAGAACCAUUCAAAUACUCAUGUGAAGGAAAAGAAACUUUUCAUCAUCAUCAUCAUCGUGAUCCUAUUCCUAUUUUACAAUCGCAGGAGGCAACCGGCCAGGUUUCAGGUCUCAACCCAGGCCAGGUUGCUGCACUGCAAGCCGAGACAGGGACGGCUGAACUGAACACGGAAGCCUAGCUCUAAUUGGGGCCCCAGCAGCUGAGGUACAUGACGGUCCUCAUCCCCUCCUCCGCCUUGUCCGCCCGCUUCUUCUCCGCCGGCGCCAGCUUCUUCUUGGCCUGCGCGAAGCUGGGAGCGUUGGCCUUGGCGGCCCGGUGGACGGACCGCAGCGCGUAGUUCCAGCGACAGAGCCCCGCCUGGUCCUUGAGCGCCUCCACGGCGCCCACGCUCAUGGCCACCAUCCACGACGCCUUCGCUGCAGCGGCCAUCUUUGUAUCUGCUUCUUGAGCUGGAGCCUAACGCGCCUUGUUUUUGCUACAGAGUGAGAUCUGGUUGUUGCCUUGGUGAAUUGGUGAUCGGUGUAGAUGCUGUGAGUGAGCGAGGUGGGGCGUGGUGGGUUAUAUAUACCGGAGGGAGGACUGCAAACAAGCGGCCGCGGGCGCUGGUUUUCCUGGAUACCGGGGGCUCUCCGCUCUCAUUGCCUUGUUUCCCGGCAGGUCGCUUUCCCCGCACCGGCCCCUUGCUCGGCUCACCUAUCUCGUCGUCUUGUUUAUUCGCCGCAGAAACGGCCGGUCUUCAGUGUCGCGGGCAGAAACGACGAAGAGCGUGCCGCGCAACCGUUUCUGCCACAGCACACGAGCACGAUGCAUCUUCUCUCAAAGCAAGGCUAAUAAUAUAGCCGGCUGCUGGGCUGUAAGGUUUUUUUACAGCUUUUUUACGGUCUACUCAUAUAAUGGUUAGCUCAUCACUAUUAAUAUAUGACUCACUUGUCUGUCUUAUAAAUUUUUUUGGUUUUUGUGUCUGAGCCGGCUGCAAGGCCAGUCUCAGUGGAGGUUUCACCAGGAUGUUAUGCACAUUUAUUAGAGCGCCAUGUCAGCAAAACUGCACUUUUUGCAUGAAACAAAGAGAAGAGAGAAGGAAGUAGUUUCACCAUGGUGAAACUCCGCUGGCGUUGUUUCCCACGCGGUGAAACAGGAUGAAAUCUCCAUUGAGGACUAAAUCGUUUCACCAUCUUGCAUGUGAUCCAAUCAUUUUGCAGUAAUUAAAUGCUUUGCCCAGCUUAGGAAAUAUCAAGAUGGAACUCUGCGUUGUGGAGGUUGUUUCAUUUUUCGUUUCAUUGAUGCUCUGUCAGCAUAUUUGUUUUGGAAACAGUGCAUUGAAACGGGCCAUUGAGACUGACCUAAGUUUACAGGCUGCUUUUACUCUCUCUCCUAUUCUCUCUCUUCCAUCUCAGCAUUUAGUCAGCUUACAGCUUGCUAUAAUACUUGCUCUUACAGUAGUACUGAAAACUGGAGUACAAUUUGGUCUACCAAUUAGGAAGGAAUCAAGCAAAGUAGAUGUUUUUUUUUAUGUUUUAUAUAUCCUACCAAGUGGUGGCCGCCCGUGCGUUGUCAGCGAACAUGAGGGAGGGAGGGAGCUGCCAGAUUUAAGGUCUCACUCGAGUCGUCCAGCAGUCCAGGAAUCUUCUUGCUUUCUUGAUGAAUUUGAGCGGCAUUAAGCUAAUCUGUUUCCACGCACUGAGUCACAUGAGUUAGCUGCAGUUGUUACCGCGUGCUUUUGGAGCAGCAGCGAGAAGAGCCCGACACUCGUUUGGCUUAUAAGCCAUAGCAAAAAAUAUUGUUAGCUGAUUUGUUAUAAAAGAAAAAUAUUAUUGAAUAACUAGCCGAUUGAGAGCGAUUGCUGAUGCCUGAUGCAGUUUAUGUGGAGGGAAAAUGGUAUUUGAACAUAGAUAACGCUCUGCUGUGGUCGUCUGUGAGACUGUGACUCAGCUUCUCAGCAACUAGCUACAUCAACCUGACGUUCAGUACUGGGCUUCAUCCAUCUCGUUUGUCUUCCAUCAACACUUCUCGAGAGCCAAAUGCUAGUUUGGGGGUAUGUCCUCUGUACUUCUUCAGCGGGUUGUUUGGGAGUAGAAAGAACUAGAAACUGUCAAACUGAAAUGGAGACCGUGCUGUUACUUUGCUUCAUCAUAAAGAUAAACGCCGCUAUUUCCCUAAAUAAAACGUUGGAGCUCAGACCUGAGAUUAACUUAACCUCCGAUCAGCAUGAGUUAGACUGUAUAAGCUUUUUUUUCUUAUCAUUAUGCUCUAAAGGGUCAUCAAGUGACGGGGUUCAGAACCUGAGAUUAUCAUCUCAAAUCUGCCUUGAUCGAUUGUUCUACCGUACCGUAGCACAUCGAAGCAAGCAACGAACCACAGAAAGCUAUUGUUGAGUUGUUUUGAGCGCAAAGAGAGAUCGAGGAGAGCACAGUACUCCAAUUACAGAAGGCAGAAGCAUUCAUUCAUAUACUCAGAAUGAAGAAACAGAACUUUUCAUCAUCAUCAUCGUGGUCAUAUUUUUACAACCAGAGGACCGAUCUGGGUUACUGAAAGCUGGAAAAGAGCUAGAGGACCUAAGCAACUAUGCCCAAUAACUAAUUAGGGCCCCAGCAGCUGAGGUACAUGACGGUCCUCAUCCCCUCCUCGGCCUUGUCCGCCCGCCUCCUCUCCGCCGGCGCCAGCUUCUUCUUGGCCUGUGCGAAGCUGGGAGCGUUGGCCUUGGCGGCCUGGUGGAUGGACCGCAGCGCGUAGUUCCAGCGGCAGAGCCCCGCCUGGUCCUUGAGCGCCUCCACGGCGCCCACACUCAUCGCCACCAUCCACGACGCCUUCGCUGCUGCCGCCAUGUCCGUCCUUCUCCUGCUCCUCCUCGGUUCUUGGUGGCUACAGAGUUCGGUUGGUCAGGUGUGCUGCUCGCUGAAUCGCCGAUGACUCACAGUAGGAUGUCAAGUUGUGUGAUGCUGUGUUGUGGUGAGCUGGGAGGCGGGCCGGCGGGGCGAGUUAUAUAGCGGAGGGAGGCCGGCCGCGAGGGGUGGGCCGGCGGAAACAGGUGGCCGCGGACGCUGGUUUCCCUGGAUACCGGGGGCUCCGAUCGCACUCUCCUCCAUGCUUGUCUACGUUACGCCGCAGAGGCGAUCGCUUUCUCGGCACCACACCGGCCCAGUGGGUCACUUGGCUAUCUUGUCUUGUUCCGUGAUGGGAUAACGCAUCUCUGGAUCACUGAAUCUAGUCUGCUUGUGCUUUACAAUUGUCCUUUCGGUUUUUACCAUAUGGCUUAGCUGAUUAUAUUAAACUAAUCCGUUUCUAAUGCAAUGAAGCACAUGGAUUUGCUGCAGAUUUUUUUAUUAUUUAUUUAUUUUACCACAUACUCAUGGAUCACUGAGAGGGACAUUGCGGGAUUGCUGGACGCCAUAGGACAUGGUUUCCAGGAUACCGUGGGCUAUUCCGCUAUUUGCUGAUGCCAUUCGGGCAUGUUUGGUUACGGUCCUACCAGACCACCAAUCAAACACGUCCUUUAUGCGUCUAUAUAGAAAAAAAAAACUAUUUAAACACCACCGUGCUGCGGGCAUGUGGCCUGUGACUGACAGCUUCUCAAUGAACCGUACUUUUACGGAAGCAAUCAAAUUUUACCUGUCUGGCGGUGGUUCAAACAUGAACAACCCCUAACUUCCCUUCUUUCUGCUUCUGUCAUUUACCGACGACUCCCAUGUCGUCCUCUUGCCGUGACAGGGAUGAUAUCACCCUUUUCCCUGUCAUGGACUCGUGUGUCAUUUAGCAACCGCUGAUUAUUGCAAAGUAGAGAGUGCCACACGGAAAUAGAGGCCGUGCUGUUGCUUUGCUUCACCACAAAUCAAGCACAGUUUUUUCCCCCCUAAAAACUUGGACGCCAUGUUCAUGUCUAACUGAAUUCUGUUCAUUAAUGUGGACUAGGUAAAGGUGUGCGAGGUUCGCACGGGUAGGCCUGAAAUGAAGCUUUAAAAAACUGUGCUUGAUCUAUGCUGUCAUUUCCUCCGCUGCUGCGGGUCAUGGUCAUCAAAGUGCAGUGUUCAGAAUAUGAGGUUAUCAUCUCAUAGCAUUUGAGUGAUUGUCGCUGCUUUAAUUAGCACACCGAAGCAUCGAAUUCGAAUCCCCACGAACUCUUGUCAGCGCAGAGGAUUCGUAGAAAGCACAACAACAAGCAUUAGGCAACAGAAGCAUCCAUAUACUUGGAUGAACUGACAGAACUUUUCACCAUCAUCAUUUGCUCUUCUAUAUUUACAGUCAGGAGGACGAAUCGGCCGCCAAGCUCGCUCAUCUGCUGAAACCUCAAAGCUGGAACAGAGCAAGAGGACCUAAGAGGCUAAGACCUAUGACGACUAAUUAGGGCCCCAGCAGCUGAGGUACAUGACCGUCCUCAACCCCUCCUCCGCGGCCUUGUCCGCCCGCCUCCUCUCCGCCGGCGCCGGCGCCAGCUUCUUGGCCUGCGCGAAGCUGGGAGCGUUGGCCUUGGCGGCCUGGUGGAUGGACCGCAGCGCGUAG
rnacentral:lncRNA from 1 species